CGGGAACCCGGGCUUGGAGAAGGCGGGGAGGGUGGAGGAGAGCCAGCACUCCCGCAUCUCUGAGAGGCCACUUCGUCCUUGUCCCACGAACUGCAGUUUUUCUCUCUGGGUCAUUCAUCAAUGAAUGUAUUAAGCAUUUAUUGAACACUUGCACUGGCAGAGUGGAUGUGCGGGAUACAGGGCAUCCUCCGGUAAUAGAGGGCCGAUUGCAUUUGGCUUUGGGGCUCCUUUUUAGGCACUGAUGCCAGCCCUCUCUCUAACAGAUAAGGAGGGUGCAUAAAUAGAGGUCUCGUAAUACCUAACGACUACACUCUUCAGUGAUCUGGGGAAGGAGAGUAGCUGCUGGUUGGGUUGAUCAUGGAAACUUCGUUGAGAAGCGAAAAAGAGGAAAGGUGAACACGAAGGCAUAAGUGGCAAAAAAAAAAAAAAAAAUCAAACAGCAUAUGAAUCCAUGCAUCCUGUCGGGGACAAGUUUAAUCUGAGUGUAUUGUUCUUAGUGAAAGAUGAAAACGGCGGCCGGAAAGCUGAAGACCUUAGUAGAAAAAUGCUGACUUCCCCUAAGCAAGAAGGAAUUCUGGCAGCAAACAGCCAUUGACUUGCAGCCUUUUCCCUAGACCUGCAGCCCGCCUACCUACUCUGAAGAUUUUGGAGUUGCCAAGCCUCCACAACCAUAUAAGCCAAUACCUUUCUCUCUCUUUCUCUCUUUUCUCUCUCUUAAACUGCAAAAAGCAAACAAACAAACAAACAAACAGACAGCAGGUUCAAAAUGGAGUCACUCAUACUAGUGUCACAUAACCAAACCAAAACUUGCGUUAUUUACUUGCAAGAUUUGACCUUGUGAGAAAUCAGAAGAGAGAUAACAGUGGAAUCCAACUAGGCCAACAAGAUUUUGCUUACAUCUGUAGAAGAAAAGUAACCUUGAAAUGACCAACCCUCUAUUUGUUCUUUAUUUCUGCUUUUCUCUUCUUUUUUCUGCCCAUAAAACUCACCCACUCUGUUUAGCUCAUCAGAGUUUCUUUCUACUUUGUAGACUGGAUGCUGCCCAGUUCAUGAAUCGCUAAUAAAAGCCAAUCAGAUAUUUGAAACUCAA
rnacentral:lncRNA from 1 species